GCUCGGUUAUCAUAAAUGCCAAAAUGCUCUUCUCGAAAUUCAAAAAAAGACGAAAGAAUAAAGAAAGCAAAAUAAACUGCAAGUAGUGAUAAUUCAGUAAGAGAAGAGCACACACGGUAUCAGAGAUUCUUUGCCUAGCUUAAGAAACUGAAACUGAAACUGGGUAAAUUCAUAAAGAAGCGUACUUACUUGUUCCCCAGAAUUUGACAGCUU
rnacentral:misc_RNA from 1 species